CCAAUGAGACCUAAACUAAAACCUCCUCAAUCAAGUCGAGAGUGAACCAACAUGAGCGAGCCAUAUUAGAUUAAUUGAUCUAAUUGGUAUCAAGGAAAGCAUGAAAGGUGGUUACUUAAUUAGAACCUUACUCUCUGAGUAAGGAGAGCCUCCCACCUGCUUAUCUGGCCAAUUGUUCGUUUACCUCUUAUGAAGAGCUCAAGUUGCAA
rnacentral:lncRNA from 1 species